rnacentral:tRNA from 1 species
UGCCGGCGGAGUUCCCGUUCGAGGAUCCGCUCUUCCUCCCGGAGGGGGCCGGUGUGCCCGGCGCCGGCAUGGUGGGUUCCUGCGGCCCGCUGCUGGCGG